CGCGCGUGCCCCGCCCCCACCGCGCCUUCGCCCGCUCCCAUUGGCUCCUCCUCGGGAGGGGGGCGUGGCCCGAGGCAAGCCUCCCGCUGUGAUUGGCUGGAGGGGCGGGGACCGCGCUCUGGGCCACGCCCUCAAGUGUUCUCUCAGCAGAUGGCGUAUAAAAGAGGUAUCCUUCCGCAAAGCUCUGGGGAGAAAAGUCCUCUAGCUCGUCCCCUUCCACGAAGACCUCAAAGACGGGGCCAAAUGGAAAACCCAGCAAGGGGAAGAACAGACAUUCCUAAAGCCACUGGGACCGCACUGAAUUCCAAAGUGGAGCCCACAGUGCAGAUGGCAAUUGAUUCUGGAGCUGGCAAUUAUGAUACKCUUUGCUGUAUUUAUCCGUACAAAACACGGUCUGAAUGCAGUGCUGGGAUGGACGAGGAUUGGGAUGUGGACUGCUUUUCCUCCGGGCCUGCUGAGCCAAAGCACGGAGAGGAGCGCAAGGGGAGGAGCAGCAGUGGCACGAAUGCCUCCGAUGAGGCCCAUGAAACGCUAUCUCUCGCAGGCAGCUGCUGAGAGCCUCACGAYGUGUGCCAGGCACAGCGUUCCUGCCAGCCCGCAGCUCCUCACCUCGCGCARCGGUCAGGAGUCCCACACCAGCACUACAGGUUCUCCACACAGACCCUUCCUGCAAAGUGUUGCCUCGGUGGCAAACCGAUUCCCCUUGCUCAUCAGCAGCCCUUCUUCACUGGGCCAAGCGGCUCUACUGAAAGCAGUGCAAAGCAGAACAGASCAGCUUACUAAGCCAUCUACCUGCAAUAAAUUCCCUUCCUAAAAUAGCUGCAGAGCCUUGAAGUCUUUUUAUAGCAGCUACACUGGCCUUUGCUGUUCUGAAAGACUGUAAAGAAAAUCUUGUAGUGCUAACUUGUAGGUAAACUGAUGCAAUUCUGACCGAGUUUGAAGAGAGCCUGAAGCAAUAGCUCUGGAAAGAGUGAGUUACCUGCUUAA
rnacentral:lncRNA from 1 species